rnacentral:rRNA from 1 species
GGAGAAAUCCUGAAGCAGCAACGCCGCGUGGAGGAUGAAGGGUCUAUGACUUGUAAACUCCUGUAAAGAAGGAGAAAAUUCCCAUUUGAUGGGAGAUGAUGGUACUUCUGGAGUAAGCCCCGGCUAACUACGUGCCAGCAGCCGCGGUAAUACGUAGGGGGCAAGCGUUGUCCGGAUUUACUGGGUGUAAGGGUGCUCAGGCGGAUUUGUAAGUCAGAGGUGAAAUCUUACAGCUUAACUGUGAAACUGCCUUUGAAACUGCAAUCCUAGAGUAUCGAAGGGAGGGAUGGAGUAUCUGGUGCAGCAAUAAAACGCGUAGAUAUCAGAGAGGACACAAAUGGCGAAGGCAGUCACUUAGACCAUUACUGACGCUAAAG